rnacentral:lncRNA from 1 species
CAAUGGCCACCAUUACCUCUACCAGAACCACUAUCGCUUCCAUUAUAAUAGUCACCAUUAUGGUAACACUAUCAUUUCCACCACCAUCAUCAUUUAGAGAUGGCAACAGAUUAAGUACGAAGCAAAUCAACAAAUAUCAUACCUACUCUAUGAUUAAAAAUUUUAUAUUCGUAUUCGCCCUAUACCCCACAAGUCGAAAUGGAUUGGAUCA